GAUGAACGCUAGCGGCAGGCUUAAUACAUGCAAGUCGAGGGGCAGCAUGAGUGUAGCAAUACAUUUGAUGGCGACCGGCAAACGGGUGCGGAACACGUACACAACCUUCCUAUAAGUGGGGAAUAGCCCAGAGAAAUUUGGAUUAAUACCCCGUAACAUAAUGAUGUGGCAUCACAUUAUUAUUAUAGCUUCGGCGCUUAUUGAUGGGUGUGCGGCUGAUUAGAUAGUUGGCGGGGUAACGGCCCACCAAGUCUACGAUCAGUAGCUGAUGUGAGAGCAUGAUCAGCCACACGGGCACUGAGACACGGGCCCGACUCCUACGGGAGGCAGCAGUAAGGAAUAUUGGUCAAUGGACGCAAGUCUGAACCAGCCAUGCCGCGUGAAGGAUUAAGGUCCUCUGGAUUGUAAACUUCUUUUAUCUGGGACAAAAAAAGGCUAUUCUUAGUCACUUGACGGUACCAGAUGAAUAAGCACCGGCUAACUCCGUGCCAGCCGCCGCCGUAAGAC
rnacentral:rRNA from 1 species